GAUGAAGAACGUAGCGAAAUGCGAUAAGUAAUGUGAAUUGCAGAAUUCAGUGAAUCAUCGAAUCUUUGAACGCACCUUGCACCCUUUGGCAUUCCGAAGGGUAUGCUCGUUUGAGUGUCAUUGUACUCUCACACUCUCCGAUCCUAUGGAUUCGGGGAGCGGUGGACUUGGGUGUUGCUGCCUUUCCUUGUGGCUCACCUCAAAUGUGUCAGUGCACCUCUUGGUUGGACAUAGUACGGCGUGAUAAGUGUCUUCGCCGGCACCUCGCAAGAGGGUGGCCGAUCGGGAGCUCUGUGCUUUCAAACCGUCUUCGGACAAUUUCUGACAACUUGACCUCAAAUCGAGUAGGACUACCCGCUGAACUUAAGCAUAUCAUAGCGGAGGA
rnacentral:misc_RNA from 1 species